CACAUCUCUCAGCAACACUCUGAGUUUGUCAAGCGGUACAGUGAGCUGUCAUUCCACUACUGGGAAUUGUCACCAGAUGGCCAUCUGCUUUGAGAAGCCCUGUCAACAUGUUGAUUGAGGGCAGCUCCAUGGCUACUCAACAGCAGAACACAAAACAGGGGAAACCUUGGGUGAGCUUCUGAACACAUGAGAAGCUGAAACCCAGAUGGGAAGCUGACUUGCCUUGGAUUCUGAAACUUGACUUGCCUAGCGCAUAUAUUUUACAGAUAAGGAAACAGACCUCCACAGAGCCCAGAGUUAACACAGGUGUUAAUGUAGAACUGGGGUGACAGUUCCUGUCCUCUGGCUCCUGGAUCCAGCUGCUUCCUACCACACAGCACUGCACUCUCCAUUGCUCUGCACGAAUAUCCGCUUCACCCCUCUGUGUCCUACUCUUCCUUGGAAAACACAGGGGUCCCUAGCUUCAGUGCUUACUGUGACCAUUGAGGUUACCUGAGUCGGUGGGCUAAGUGGAGGAUGACAGAUACUGCUGGGGACUGUGGCAAAGCAGAGAGCACAGUCCCGCCUGUCACAGAAGGCUCUGGGUCCUCACUGCAGGAGCAUGGGCCCAGGAUGGUGACAGCUUCCAGUUUGUCAAGAAAACCCAGAAAUCUCAAUCCUUACUUGAAAUUUCUCAGGCAGGGUAUGUCUUAGAAAACUUGCAUACAGGUGGACUUUUGCCAGCUACCUGCCAGAUUGUGACCUCCACUUAAGUGCAUGUUUCUCAUCUCCCUGACAGCAGCAGCUGCAAGAACAGGCCCUGUGGCUUAACACAUGCAAGGCACCAUUUAUGCAUUAUCUCUUCUAAUCUUCUCAACAACCCAGGGAAGUACUGACGAUAAGGAAACUGAGGCUCUGCCAGUCUGAAGUAAUUUGUCAAAGUUCAACAGCUAAAUCCUGGGCUAGGGCUGAAACCUAAACCUUUCUGAUUGGCAAUUUUUAAUCUCAUCCUCACAAUCUUUGGCCUCCCUGAUGGUUCAGCCAUUACUGGAUUGAAUUAAAGCUACUGGUGAAUCUGUACAGUUUUCCAAAUUCCAUUUCAGUUCAGCUUUUCAAACACAUUCUGAAUUACCACUGUGUAAAAAAGCAUGUGUACCCUAAAGGUGAAGGAUUACACUGUACAAAGCAUGGUAUUUGGCCUGGUGAACAAGCCAGGCAUGGAAACUAAUCAUUAUUUUAAACAUGGACCACGCUAAGUUCUAGAUUUGAAUCAUCUCUCUGGUGUAAUAAAUUUCUGACUGCUUAUUCAGUUGGCUCGUAUCUAGGUUGACAUAUACUUCUCCUCAUUUGUCUUCUGAAAAAAAUCAAUAAAUUAUUUGUAUACGUUUAACAGAGGUGAAAUUGAGGCUUUUAAAAACCUUAUUAGGGGGUGAUACUUCUGACAUUUAUCCUAAAGGUAACAAUGUUUCAAUUUGAUUUAUUGUGUAUUUGGAAUUAGAACUCUGACUCUAAGUGUACAUUUGAUCUUUUAUUGUACAUUAUUUU